GAGUUUGAUCAUGGCUCAGGAUUAACGCUGGCGGCAUGCCUAAUACAUGCAAGUCGAACGGAGUAGCAAUACUUAGUGGCGAACGGGUGAGUAACACGUAUCUAAUCUACCAUUUAGUGGGGAAUAACUGUUGGAAACGACAGCUAAUACCGCAUAAUAUUGCUGGAUAAUUUCCAGUAAUGAAAGGAGCUUUCAAGCUCCGCUGAUUGAUGAGGAUGCGGCGCAUUAGCUAGUUGGUAGGGUAAUGGCCUACCAAGGCAAUGAUGCGUAGCCGAUCUGAGAGGAUGAACGGCCACAUUGGGACUGAGACACGGCCCAAACUUCUACGGAAGGCAGCAGUAGGGAAUUUUUCACAAUGGGCGAAAGCCUGAUGGAGCAAUGCCGCGUGACUGAUGAAGGUCUUCGGAUUGUAAAGGUCUGUUGUAAGGGAAGAAAUGGUAAAACAGGAAAUGGUUUUAUCUAUGACGGUACCUUACCAGAAGGCCACGGCCAACUAUGUGCCAGCAGCCGCGGUAAUACAUAGGUGGCAAGCGUUAUCCGGAUUUAUUGGGCGUAAAGGGUGCGUAGACGGUUUUGCAAGUCUGAGGUUAAAUUUA
rnacentral:rRNA from 1 species